rnacentral:rRNA from 1 species
GACGAACGCUGGCGGCGUGCUUAACACAUGCAAGUCGAACGGAAAGGCCCUGUCUUUGUGGGGUGCUCGAGUGGCGAACGGGUGAGUAGCACGUGAGUAACCUACCCUUGACUUUUGGAUAACUUAACGAAACGGGAGUUAGUACCAGGUAGGAGCUCCUGCUGCUGGGUGGUGGUUGGUAAGUUUCGGGGGUUGGGGCUGGACGCGCGGGUUGUGCGCUCGUUGGUGGGGUUGGUGCUGACCAGGGCUUUGACGGGUGGCCGGCCUGAGAGGGUGACCGGCAAGGUGGGGACUGCGACGCGGCCCAGACUCGUACGGGAGGCAGCAGUGGGGAAAAUUGCGAAAUGGGGGGACGCCGGAGGCGGCAGCGCCGCGUGGGGGAUGACGGCCUUCGGGUGGUAAACCGCUUUCGCCUGUGACGAGGCGUGAGUGACGGUAAUUGGUAAAGAAGCACCGGCUAACUACGUG